rnacentral:rRNA from 1 species
CCUACGGGCGGCAGCAGUGAGGAAUAUUGGUCAAUGGGCGCGAGCCUGAUCCAGCCACGUAGCGUGAAGGAUGACUGCCCUACGGGUUUUAAACUUCUUUUGUAAAGGAGUAAAGUGAGUCACGUGUGCCUUUUUGUAUGUACUUUCUGCAUAAGUAUCGGCUAACUCCGUGCCAGCAGCCGCGGUAAUAAGGAGGAUCCGAGCGUUAUCCGGAUUUAUUGGGUUUAAAGGGAGCGUAGAUGGGUUGUUAAGUCAGUUGUGAAAGUUUGCGGCUCAACCGUAAAAUUGCAAGUGAUACUGGCAGUCUUGAGUACAGUUGAGGUAGGCGGAAUUCGUGGUGUAGCGGUGAAAUGCUUAGAUAGCACGAAGAACUCCGAUUGCGAAGGCAGCUUACUAAACUGCCACUGACAUUGAUGCUCGAAAGUGUGGGUAUCAAACAGGAUUAGAUACCCUUGUAGUC